rnacentral:rRNA from 1 species
UACGAAGGGGGCUAGCGUUGCUCGGAAUCACUGGGCGUAAAGCGCACGUAGGCGGAUUGCUAAGUCAGGGGUGAAAUCCUGGAGCUCAACUCCAGAACUGCCCUUGAUACUGAUGGUCUCGAGUCCGGGAGAGGUGAGUGGAACUGCGAGUGUAGAGGUGAAAUUCGUAGAUAUUCGCAAGAACACCAGUGGCGAAGGCGGCUCACUGGCCCGGUACUGACGCUGAGGUGCGAAAGCGUGGGGAGCAAACAGG